rnacentral:rRNA from 1 species
GACAUAGGUGGCAAACGUUAUCCGGUUUUAUUGGGCGUAAAGAGCGUGUAGGCGGCCAGAUAGGUCAGCUGUGAAAACUCGAGGCUCAACCUCGAGAUGUCGGCUGAAACCAUCUGGCUAGAGUCCGGAAGAGGAGAAUGGAAUUCCCGGUGUAGCGGUGAAAUGCGCAGAUAUCGGGAAGAACACCCGUGGCGAAGGCGGUUCUCUGGGACGGUACUGACGCUGAGACGCGAAAGCGUGGGGAGCGAACAGG